CUCUCAUUUAUGUAAUUGGUUGAUAAAAUCAACGUACUAUAGUCUACAUUUUGUCUGCGAUAUCACCUCGGUGGAAGCGGGCGUUCAAUAAAGCUAUUUCACACACAUACAUUUACCAUUAACAGCGUGCUGAAAUAAUUUUUGAGUCGUGAUAUGAUUCACAAAUAUAAUGGUCACAGACAGAGAAUACAAGACCGCAGGUUUGUAAAUAGUUAUUAAAAAAAUAAUACCAUGUAUCUAAUUUAGCAUCGAUAUUUGUUUCUAUGUAUAUUAGUAUUUCGUUUCCUAAAAAAAACUCCCCUGUAGUUCAUGUUUACCGCGGGUACAGUGAAAAGAAUUUCGGCAUGUUAUAAUUGAAUCUGUCUAAUUUUUCUGAAAUCGUGCUUAAAGAUGGGUUCCCAGAAAAGUAUUUAUCGGGUGGUUUUUUCCAAUAAAGGUGUGGCAAUUUUGGUAUGUAUGGAAAGUAGAAACAUCCAAUCUUACAGGAAAAAUACUGGAUUCCCUGAAAAACACCCAUGGGGCAAGCACUGGGCAAAAAUGUCACAGAAAUUACUUAGGCUUUGAUAUUUAUGGUAAAUGGACAGCGAUUAAAUAUAAACAAGCUUGUUGAGUGUUGGAACCAUCACAAGAAAGAAGGUAGUUGUGAGUAGUUGUGACACAAGCUCAACAUGUUCAUCAAAUGACUGGAAAUUCAUCUUAUAAUCGUGUAUUUCUGGGGUUGAACAACUGUCACAGGAAGCAGAAUUGCUCUCAUUUUAUGAGUACAAUGUAUAAAGAAAAAGCAACAGACAAAUCUUUCAUUGAAACAUCGGAAGAUGCCUCAAAUGAUCAAGCUGAGUAGUGAUGAUAAGACAAUGAUAUUGACAGUCAAGAUAGGGUCAACUUGAAAUGUCUUUAAAUAUUUCACAGACUGUAUUCGAAAAGAACAAAAUACUUGGAGUGUGGUUCCUGUAAAAGUGGAGAAAGAAUAUGAAUAUAUGGUUGAUGGUUGAUAUACUUAGUGGAAUACUGGAUCAAAUUAAAAGUCACCAGGGUCCAAUCCCUCAAGUAUUUCAAUAAACUUGCAGAUGAUGAUCCCAGGAGUAUAAAAAGAAAUAGUGCAGCUGUGACACCUCCAACAACAAAGGAACUUCUUGCAAUAAUAAAUUGAGAUUUGGAUAGUAAAUUGUACUAAAUGUUAAAAUUAGAAUUUCCUAGAUAUUUAUCAUUAAUCGUACAGGUAGAUAGUUGGAUUAUCCGGUUCACCCCUAUUACUGGUAUCUAUUACUGUGUCGAAAAUGCAUAAAGUGUCCAGUUGCACGCAUUUGUUGGAUACGCAUUAGUAACACAACUUGGGACAACUCUUCUAAUGCCGGUACCAAGAUAUCUAUGCUUCCAAAAUGUGGAAUUUCUGUAUGCUGUAUAUCUUGCUGUUUCGUUGUAGUUUACCAUGUCUACCCAUCACAUCUCUAAAGUAAUCAUUCGAAAUGGCUAAAACAUUUUGAUCCAUUUCCUGCAGAAGAAAUAUUUACAUAGAUAUUUAAUAUGAAAUAGUUUUGUUUACUUAUUUUGUAUAACAAAAAUUCUAAAUGCAUACGAUUUUAUUGUGAAUACUGAUUUUUAUUUAUUAUAAUGCUUUGCACUUACAAUUAUGUGAAAAUACAAAAAGCUGGUUGGCAUCCACAGCAAACACAUUCUAUAUCCACUUCCAUCUCUACAGUAGUUACAAACACACCAGUCAGGUGAACUCUACCUGGUGCUUGAGUCUUGUAUCAACAGCAUUUAUAGUUAGUUGUCUGUAAAUAAAAUGUUGUGUUGUUUAAUUACUCUGGAAAUUUUUGAGCACCUUUAAAUCUAGGGUAUUUGUUAAAAGUUUAAUAAAAUGUAUAAACCUUACUAUAAGUUGUUGUCUUCUAUUUUCCAUUCGUCCAGUUAAUCUUUGUCUGUC